GAAGUAGAUAGCUUAACCGCAAGGGGGGCGUUUACCACGGUAUGAUUCAUGACUGGGGUGAAGUCGUAACAAGGUAACCGUAGGGGAACCUGCGGUUGGAUCACCUCCUUA
rnacentral:ncRNA from 1 species